rnacentral:rRNA from 1 species
UUUAGAUUUGAAGUAAUUUAACCUAAGUAGUAGUAGAUAUGGUCUUGAAACUUAAAGAAUUUGGCGGUAUUUUAGUCUAUUUAGAGGAAUCUGUCCCUUGAUUCGAUAAUCCACGUUGAACCUUACUAAAUUUUAUUGUAUGUAUAUCGCCGUUAUAAGAGAAUCUUUUUAGAGAUUAAUAAUUUUCUAAUUUUAUUAAUUUUAAUUUAUUUCAGGUCAAGGUGCAGCUUAUAAUUUAGUGGAGAUGGAUUACAAUUAAAUUAAUUAUUUGGAUUAUUAAUUGUAAUAUUUAAUAUGAAAAUGGAUUUAAUAGUAAUUUCUUAUAGAUUAUAGAGGUGGUAUAUUAGCUCUAUAAUAUGU